rnacentral:rRNA from 1 species
UACGGAGGGCGCGAGAGUUACCCGGAUUUACUGGCCGUAAAGGGCGUGUAGGCGGCCUGGGGCGUCCCAUGUGAAAGGCCACGGCUCAACCGUGGAGGAGCGUGGGAUACGCUCAGGCUAGACGGUGGGAGAGGGGGGUGGAAUUCCCGGAGUAGCGGUGAAAUGCGCAGAUACCGGGAGGAACGCCGAUGGCGAAGGCAGCCACCUGGCUCACUUGUGACGCUGAGGCGCGAAAGCGUGGGGAGCAAACCGG